rnacentral:rRNA from 1 species
GUGUCAGCAGGCGCGAAUCUUCCACAAUGGGACGAAAGUCUGAUGGAGCGGACGCCGCGUGGCGGGGAUGAAGGCCUUAUGGGGUUGUAAACCGCUGUCAGGGGGGGAAGAACAUCGGAAUGAACAAUACUCAUUCCGACUGGACGUUACCCCCAGAGGGAAGCUCCGGCCAACUCCGUGCCAGCAGCCGGCGGUAAUACGGGGGGGAGCAAGCGUUGUCCGGAAUUAUUGGGGCGUAAAGGGCGUGUAGGCGGCGA